GAGAGAGAAAGAGGUGGAGAGAGAGAGAGAGAGAGAGAGAGAUCCUGUUAUGUGGCUACACUGUUUUGACGUAAAGGUACUGUAGAGAUAGUGAUGAUGAUGACACUGUGUUGCUGUACAGCUUGUUCUCCUGAUGUGACUCCCAGCCAGACUUCAGUAUCAGACACAAUGUCCCAGACUGUAUCAGACGUAUGUUGACUGAGAGAGAAAACAGUCUUUGACCUGCUGGACUUUUAGUAAAUACUGAGUGCGCUCAGGAAACAUGUCUGGAGCCAUCACAUGAAGACUUCCAAGAUGAUGUGAUGAAGUCCAGACUGACUCGAUACUGACGUCUCUGAACGGAGAAAGGCCUGGAUCAGGAACUCCUGCUGUACACGGUACACCACCCAGGAAGGUAUGACCACUGACAUGUUACCAUGGUAGCCCCAUUACCACCACCCAGGAAGGUAUGACCACUGACAUGUUACCAUGGUAACCUCAUUACCACCACCCAGGAAGGUAUGACCACUCUGACAUGUUACCAUGGUAACCCCAUUACCACCACCCAGGAAGGUAUGACCACUCUGACAUGUUACCAUGGUAACCCCAUUACCACCACCCAGGAAGGUAUGACCACUCUGACAUGUUACCAUGGUAACCCCAUUAAGGGUUAAGGUUAGGGUUAUCCCUGAGAUAGCCUCUAAGGGUUAAGGUUAGGGUUAUCCCUGAGAUACACUCUAAGGAUUAGGGUUAUCCCUGAGAGAGCCUCUAAGGGUUAGGGUUAUCCCUGAGAGCCUCUAAGGGUUAGGGUUAUCCCUGAG
rnacentral:lncRNA from 1 species